rnacentral:rRNA from 1 species
AUGCUGUUGAUGGCGUUGAUCAGGAGACCAGCCCAAGCCCACAAUACCAGUGGGUUGAUGGAUAGUUGUGUUCCUUCUUUUAGAACAUCUCCAAGAAUAAGUUUUGCUAGACCACCAAGAAGAAAUGAUUGAUGAAAUAUGGCGGGAUCUACGAUGAUACCAAGACCGUCACUUGGAGGUAACGUGAAGCCCAGCAGAAGAAGACCAAAUCCGAGCGAAAACCCCGCAACCGGUCCAGCAGCUGCUACCUUGAGCAGGUCCCCGCGAUUGCGGACGAUAUUGACUAUUCUGGUGAUGCCACCAAAAGACCCUAUCUGCCAGCUAGGAACAAAAUAUGGUACUGAAAGCUUGACCCCAGCAUCCCUAGCAGCAAGGAUAUGUCCAAUUUCAUGAACCCCUACUAUGAGUCCAGUUACCAAGGCACCAGGAAGUCCAUCUUUCAAUAGCUCAAGGUUAUCAAAUGUUGAUCUGGAGAAGAAUAUAUCGACAGGUACAUUCCGAAGCAGCAGAGUGAAAAUGGUAACUACUCCGAAUGCACCAGCAGCAGCCCACUCUGGGACGGCUGAAAUGGCAGGCUCCACUGUCUGCUUAGGUACAACUACUGCAACUGGCUUCUCAUCCUCUGGAUUGAUGAGAAGAAAAACCUUAAAUUCAUCGCCAAAUUUGUUCUGUGGAUAA